CCCAGACUCCUACGGGAGGCAGCAGUGGGGGAUAUUGCACAAUGGGGGGAACCCUGAUGCAGCGACGCCGCGUGGGUGAAGGAGCGUUUCGGCGCGUAAAGCCCUAUCGGCAGGGAAGAAGGAGGACGGUACCUGACUAAGAAGCCCCGGCUAACUACGUGCCAGCAGCCUCGGUAAUACGUAGGGGGCAAGCGUUAUCCGGGUUUACUGGGUGUAAAGGGGGCGCAGACGGCAGCGCAAGCCAGGAGUGAAAGCCCGGGGCCCAACCCCGGGACUGCUCUUGGAACUGCGCGGCUGGAGUGCAGGAGGGGCAGGCGGAAUUCCUGGUGUAGCGGUGAAAUGCGUAGAUAUCAGGAGGAACACCGGUGGCGAAGGCGGCCUGCUGGACUGCGACUGACGUUGAGGCCCGAAAGCGUGGGGAGCAAACAGGAUUAGAUACCCUAGUA
rnacentral:rRNA from 1 species